CAAUAGCGUAUAUUUAAGUUGCUGCAGUUAAAAAGCUCGUAGUUGGAUUUCGGGUGGGAAUGGCCGGUCCGCCGUUUCGGUGUGCACUUGCUACGCCCACCUUGCUGCCGGGGACGUGCUCUUGAGUUCACGCUCGGGACACGGAGUCGGCGAGGUUACUUUGAGUAAAUUAGAGUGUUCAAAGCAGGCCUACGCUCUGAAUACAUUAGCAUGGAAUAACACGAUAGGACUCUGGCCUAUCUUGUUGGUCUGUAGGACCGGAGUAAUGAUUAAGAGGGACAGUCGGGGGCAUUCGUAUUUCAUUGUCAGAGGUGAAAUUCUUGGAUUUAUGAAAGACGAACUACUGCGAAAGCAUUUGCCAAGGAUGUUUUCAUUAA
rnacentral:rRNA from 1 species